UACAGAGGGUGCAAGCGUUAAUCGGAGUUACUGGGCGUAAAGGGUGCGUAGGUGGUUAUAUAAGUCAGUUGUGAAAGGCCUGGGCUUAACCUGGGAAUUGCAAUUGAAACUGUGUGACUAGAGUUGAGUAGAGGGGAGCGGAAUUUCCGGUGUAGCGGUGAAAUGCGUAGAUAUCGGAAGGAACAUCAGUGGCGAAGGCGGCUCUCUGGACUCAAACUGACGCUGAAGCACGAAAGCGUGGGUAGCGAACAGG
rnacentral:rRNA from 1 species